CGAGACCUCAGGUCAGAC
rnacentral:rRNA from 1 species